UUUUAUAUUAUAUAAUAAAAUCGCCGUACAGCGGCUCCCGUGCAUUUUGCAAAACCUACAUUUCGGCUCCCACCGAACUUUCGCUCGCCCACCCCUGGCAUAUAAUAAAAAGCCGGAAUGGUCCGUAACUCCUUAAAUGUCGACCGCCAACUACCUACGGAACCGGACCCGUUCGUAGAAAAGCGCUAUUGUACACUCCCGUUUUUCGAGAUUAGGGGAACGUCCAUAAAUUACGUAAAAGUAUUUUUAUACUUCUUCGACCGUCUAUCGUUUUACUCUCGUAACGCCGUCGUACGUACUCUUCCUUAAAAUUACGUAACGCGUAUAAGUACUAAGUAGUGAUACGCGGCGCGGUGUACCGAAAGUUACGUUAUUCGUUAAUUACGAAUAAACGCGUACAAAGCGGUGUCGUACACAAAUAACACGCGUUACUACGCCAUACCUCGGCCACAAAAACGAUAAAACUACCGGCGACUUAGCCCCUACGUAUUUAACAAACUAAGACUCUCUAGAAUUAAGUAACGACGUCGUAAAUAUUCCCCACCCCCCGUAACGCGGCGUAACCAUUACCCGCCGUAUCGUAAGUAGGUAGCCCUUACCUCCAGCUGGCUUCGUGGCGUGCCAGAGGCCCGCGGGAACCUUUGAACGGCGAGUUUUUCGCGCUGUUCGGAGGAGACGAAAGGUCGAAGGGGUCCGCGUAUGUCUUUCGGUUUGUUUACUUCCUAACUCUUCCGGUAGGCGAAGGGUUUGGUUCGUUGUUUAUACCGAAUUUUUUCACUACGUUUAUCAAACGCGUUAAAUCAUUAUUUUGACGCGACAAAUACCAGCGGCUAAUUAAGCUCGCUUGCGAAACGGACCGCGCCCUCGGUAUUCGAUUAGACGUAUCGCCAUCUGUUGGCCCGUUUCGUGAUUAAACGGCUUACUUGAUGUCUCGUAUCUGUAUUUUGAAAUUCGCUACCGCCAUUUUUCAAAACGUACAUGUUAAUCCUCUGUUAUUUAUUUGUUUAUAAAUGAAUUAAGGCCGAUUGUUCGAAAUGUAACGCUUUUUCUAUGGGAAACGGAAUCGGGUAGAACAAAACGGCUUUUUCGUUGGAAUCCGUUUGAAUUCUUCUAUAAGAUACGAUUCGGAAUUUUGAAAAUCCGAGUCGUUAAUGUUUUAAGAAUGAAGUUUUGACAAUUUUUGCAAAAGAAUCUUUCCAUAAAAAGAGUAUUAAAGCCGCGCUAUUCGUCGAUAAUCCCCAAUUAUUAGUGCCAAAGCGCAAAUAUUUUAUAUUUAAUAAGUUUUUACACGACUAGGAAUGAUGAUUUUCUUUUAUGCGAAUUUACACGUUUUAUAGACGGUAGAGACGGAAUCGUCGUCGAUUAGACACAUCUUUUUACACAUUGAAAGGCCUGACUAAAGUGGCGGAUAACAGUUUCCCCAACAUGAUCGCUCUGCUAACUGGAAGGAAAGUUCGAAUGGUACCGCAAGAACUGCCCGGUAACGAGAGCGCCGGACCGUACGACCAUUGGCCAUUUAUAUGGAAGAACUUCAAAAAAGAAGGGUACGUAACGGCAUUAACCGAAGACGAGCCAGAAUAUACCAUUUUAAAUUAUUUAUCUAAAGGCUGUCUUCGCAAACCCACCGAUUAUUACCCGCGACCAUUAUGGUUGGCUUUAUCCGAAUCUUCUCUUCUGAAGAAAAGUUCCACCUAUUGUCUGGGAAAUAUUCCCACGUACACGAUUUUAUUCAAUUGGAUGAAAGAAUUUAUAGAAAAAUAUAGCCGAGAACUGUAUUUUCUCUUCUCCUUUUACAUCGCCGUUACCCAUACGAAUUUCAAUAACGCUCAAUAUUUGGACGGGGACGUCUACAAUUUGCUCAGAGAAUUGAACGAAAACGGACAUUUUCGGAACACGGUGGUAAUCGUUAUGGGCGACCACGGCAAUAGGUAAGUACUUUAACUACUCGUAAAACUGCCGUAACGGUACCGCCAGUUGGGGUAACUUUGGCUCGAAACAACAGAAACUGAUUAAUAUUGCGCCAAUAUUUUUUUUAUGUUCGGCACGAAAUAGGGAAUACACUUAGGUAAACUGUUUAAGUUUUUCGAGUUUUUAAAUGCCUUAAAAAAUAUUGAAAAUACCGUGGGAAUAUGCCAAAGAAAUAUGGACCGUUUAUUUUGAAAGUGGUGUAAGUCCAUUUUUUCUUCUUUCGAGAUAUUUAAACAUUUGCAUUUUAGUUGAUUCAAAAAUAUAAACAAAGUGUACUAGGUUUGACAAUGUUUCUAUGACUUUAGAAAUAUGUAAGUUGAUUGCAUAAAGACUUCUAUGCGAAUUUAUCCAAACUAAUAUAUUCUUUCUGGGCCAUAAAUGGACUUACACCACUUUCAUAAUUACUAAACUGUAAAAUUCAUUAAAUUUCUAUUAUGUAAAACUCAAUGUCACUUGAAACACAUUGCGUUUUAUUCUGAUUUUGUUCAUAUAUAAUAACAAGAAAUAAAAUAGUAUUGUUUAUUCUGAACAUUAAAAAUAUUUACUUAUUGUUAAACUAUUUUAUGAUAAAUUUAUCAUUAUUAUGAGCUUACCAUUAGACACUGCUUUUCAUUUAGAUUCAUUACAUGGAUUUUU
rnacentral:misc_RNA from 1 species